UCCCGAGCGUUGUUCGGAUUCAUUGGGCGUAAAGGGUGUGUAGGCGGCGGGGCAAGUCUGAUGUGAAAUCCUGGGGCUCAACCCUGGAACUGCAUUGGAUACUGCCUUGCUAGAGAACUGGAGAGGAGCGCGGAAUUCUCGGUGUAGCGGUGAAAUGCGUAGAGAUCAGGAGGAACACCUGUGGUGUAGACAGCUUACUGGACGGUGACUGACGCUGAGGCACGAAAGCGUGGGUAGCAAACAGG
rnacentral:rRNA from 1 species